CCUACGGGAGGCAGCAGUAGGGAAUCUUCCACAAUGGACGAAAGUCUGAUGGAGCAACGCCGCGUGAGUGAUGAAGGUUUUCGGAUCGUAAAACUCUGUUGUAAGGGAAGAACAAGUACGAGAGGGAAUGCUCGUACCUUGACGGUACCUUGCGAGAAAGCCACGGCUAACUACGUGCCAGCAGCCGCGGUAAUACGUAGGUGGCAAGCGUUGUCCGGAAUUAUUGGGCGUAAAGCGCGCGCAGGCGGCCUUUUAAGUCUGAUGUGAAAGCCCCCGGCUCAACCGGGGAGGGUCAUUGGAAACUGGAAGGCUUGAGUACAGAAGAGAAGAGUGGAAUUCCAUGUGUAGCGGUGAAAUGCGUAGAGAUGUGGAGGAACACCAGUGGCGAAGGCGACUCUUUGGUCUGUAACUGACGCUGAGGCGCGAAAGCGUGGGGAGCAAACAGGAUUAGAUACCCUGGUAGUCCACGCCGUAAACGAUGAGUGCUAGGUNUUGGGGGGUUUCCGCCCCUCAGUGCUGAAGCUAACGCAUUAAGCACUCCGCCUGGGGAGUACGGCCGCAAGGCUGAAACUCAAAGGAUUGACGGCGAGACGNGCGAGACGACGACGAGGAGGAGG
rnacentral:rRNA from 1 species